rnacentral:rRNA from 1 species
AGCGAACGCUGGCGGCAGGCCUAACACAUGCAAGUCGAACGAACCUCUCGGGGUUAGUGGCGGACGGGUGAUUAACACGUGGGAACGUGCCUUUAGGUUCGGAAUAACUCAUUGAAACUUGUGCUAAUACCGAAUUUUCCCUUCGGGGGAAAGUUUCAUCGCCUUUAGACCUGCCCGCGUCUGCUUAGCUCCUUGGUUGAUGGAUUGACUCACCACGACCACGAUCCGUUGCUGGUCUGAGAGCAUGGCCUGCCACAUUGGGACUGAGCCACGCCCCAAACUCCUCCGCGACGCAGCGGUGGGGACUCUUGCGCAACGGGAGAAACCCUGACGCAGCCAUCUCGCGUGAAUGAUGAAGCCCCUAGGAGUGUCACAUUCUUUCACAGAGGACGAUAAUGACGGUACCGGGCGAAGAAGCCCCGGCUAACUCCGUG